rnacentral:rRNA from 1 species
AUUGAACGCUGGCGGCAGGCCUAACACAUGCAAGUCGAGCGGAUGAAGGGAGCUUGCUCCUGGAUUCAGCGGCGGACGGGUGAGUAAUGCCUAGGAAUCUGCCUGGUAGUGGGGGAUAACGCCCGGAAACGGGCGCUAAUACCGCAUACGUCCUGAGGGAGAAAGUGGGGGAUCUUCGGACCUCACGCUAUCAGAUGAGCCUAGGUCGGAUUAGCUAGUUGGUGGGGUAAAGGCCUACCAAGGCGACGAUCCGUAACUGGUCUGAGAGGAUGAUCAGUCACACUGGAACUGAGACACGGUCCAGACUCCUACGGGAGGCAGCAGUGGGGAAUAUUGGACGAUGGGCGAAAGCCUGAUCCAGCCAUGCCGCGUGUGUGAAGAAGGUCUUCGGAUUGUAAAGCACUUUAAGUUGGGAGGAAGGGCAGUAAGUUAAUACCUUGCUGUUUUGACGUUACCAACAGAAUAAGCACCGGCUAACUUCGUG